UACGGGGGGGGCAAGCGUUGUUCGGAAUUACUGGGCGUAAAGGGCUCGUAGGCGGCCAACUAAGUCAGACGUGAAAUCCCUCGGCUUAACCGGGGAACUGCGUCUGAUACUGGAUGGCUUGAAUCCGGGAGAGGGAUGCGGAAUUCCAGGUGUAGCGGUGAAAUUCGUAGAUAUUGGGUGGAACACCGGUGGCGAAAGCGGCUCACUGGCUCGGUUCUGACGCUGAGGCGCGAAAGCGUGGGGAGCAAACAGG
rnacentral:rRNA from 1 species